rnacentral:misc_RNA from 1 species
UCCGAGUUGACCCCGGCAGUCUCCUAUGAGUCCCCGGCAUUACCCGCUGGCAACAUAGGACGAGGGUUGCGCUCGUUGCGGGACUUAACCCAACAUCUCACGACACGAGCUGACGACAGCCAUGCAACACCUGUAUACGGCCCAAAAGGACCCAACAUCUCUGCUGGUUUUCCGUAUAUGUCAAGCCCAGGUAAGGUUCUUCGCGUCGCGUCGAAUUAAGCCACAUACUCCACCGCUUGUGCGGGCCCCCGUCAAUUCCUUUGAGUUUCAGUCUUGCGACCGUACUCCCCAGGCGGCGAACUUAACGCGUUAGCUUCGAUACUGCGUGCCAAAUUGCACCCAACAUCCAGUUCGCAUCGUUUAGGGCGUGGACUAC